rnacentral:snRNA from 1 species
AAACCUGCACAACUGAGGAUGGACUGCUGCAGCUCAUCCAUUGCACUCCGGGUGUGCUGACCCCUGGCGAUUUCCCCAAAAGCGGGAAACUCGACUGCAUAAUUUGUGGUAGUUACUCUCCCAUAA